rnacentral:rRNA from 1 species
CUGCUCAAUGAUUUUUUAAAUUGCUGUGGUAUUUUGGACCUAUACGAAGGUAUUGAAAUAAGAUUUUUAAUGGAUGCUAAGAGAAUGGUUUAACAGGGGUUAACUUUCUUUAUUUUUAUUUUAAAAGUUAAUUUAAAUAUGAAAAAGUUUUUAUGCAAUUUUGGGACAAGAAGACCCUAUGAAUUUUUUUAAGAAUAGGUAUUUAGCUAUUUUUGUAGAAUGGAGAUAUCUUUUUUUAAUUGGUUGGGGCGACUUUUAAAGAUAGGAAUCUUUAAAAUGAUUAAAAUGAUCCAUUAAUAGUGAUUAUUUGAAUAAAAUACUCUAGGGAUAACAGCGUUAUUAUUUUGGAUAGUUCAUAUAGAUAAAAUAGAUUGCGACCUCGAUGUUGGAUUAAGAUACUUUUAUAAUGAAGAAGUUAUAAUAAGAAGUUUGCUCAACUUUUAAAUUCUUACUUGAUCUGAGUUCAGACCGG